AAGCUCCUCUCCGCCGCCAGGCCGCCAUGCCUCCUACACCCACGCGGCAAACCCUAGUCGUGGGAUCUGGCGGCGGUGCUGGCGGUGCUGCUGCGAACACCAGCACAUCCCGCUGCAUCCUCAACGCCCGUGGCCUCAACCUCGACUUCCCGACCCUCCUCCUCGACGGUCUCGACUUCCAACUUGAGCCCCUGCUCGACCUAGCUGUCCCGGCCUCCCCACGGUGUUGUGGUGGUGCAUUGCUGCUGCUGCUGAUGAUCCAGUACUACCUCGGCUACCUCCACGACGACUACUACGUCUUCCUCGCCUACGACCUCAGUUUCCGCUGCUGCUGGACGGGGGUGGUUUCACCGAACCAUAACCAUGGUGGUGGUCGCCAUCCGUCAGGUAAUUUUGUACAAAGCAUCGAAAGUAGUACUCUCUACACAAAAUAGAGUCGCUGAAGAGAUUUCCUUCUCAGAGUAUGAUGUUUACUGCUGACUCGUCCAGUCGAUACUAUGACAACAAAAAUUAAGAGGUAUCUCCAAGGAUGACCAGACUCAGAUCCAAUGGCUACGAGACAGCCGAAGAAAAAAGUUGACCCAUCCAGCAUGCUCUCCUUGCUUCCACUCUUGGUACAUGGCCAGUCUCCUGCACGUUUCCACAACAAUUUACCUGAAAAGGUUUUGAGCCUGCAAUCCAAUGCUAUUAUGUUCAUGUGCUCUCCUUAACUUGCAGUGAAGUUCCCAGUUUCUAGUAGAGGUGGUUGAGCCUUGCAAGGAUGUCACAGAUGAAGGCAUCUGUAUGGGUAUACAAAAUGCAACUGGUCCUAGUACUCUUUAUCCCAUUCUGAAUGUUCUUAUUUAUGACAGCUUGUCAUAUACACUGAAAAUGUUGUCAUUGUUACUGAUUUUACAUAGUUACUGAACAUGCUGUGCUGUAAUUGAAGUUGUAUGAAUGUGCUGCUACAUUUAUGGUCACAUGAUAUUGUGUGCAUGCAUACCUUUUUACUUAGAUAGGCUAAGGCAUGGAAGUUAGUUUGUAUUGUCAGUAAGCUAUUAUUAAUAAGCUCUUUAAUUACAUGAUGCCCCUGUCUAAGUCACUCCUUUUUGGCAGAUCAGAUAGAACAAAAAACCGAUGAAUUUUGUCAUUGCAAGUAACCAUUUUGGCCACUGCCAUUUGAGGUAUUUGUUUUGGCUGAUCAGAUAGAACAAAAAAUCGAUGAAUUUUGUCUAUAGAAGUAACCAUUUUGGCCACUGCCAUUUGAGGUAUUUGUUUGAGAAUAAGCUCUGCACGCACAUGUUGAUCACCCAUGUUACAUGGUACGUGGAUACAUAUAAGCUCUGCACGAACAUGUUGAGCACAUAUAUUACAUGGUACAACCACUCUUAAUUAUCAUGAUCUGAACUUGCAGUGAUCUUAUCUAUGUUUUCUAUUUCUAGAGGGUUAAUAGACAGAAUGGAAGCUGCUAAAUAAAACGCGUGACUGGUACCUCGUGUCAACACUCUUGACAUCAGUUCUCAUACUUACAACUAACUGGUACCUCGUGUCAAUUUCUAGGGAAUUAUCAGUGAAUAUGAAUGCUAGCUGAGGAACAGAAGCUGCAUUUCUACGGAAAUUAAGCUACUAUUGGAGAAUCCAUGGUUCCAAGGGGUUCUUGACUUCCUAAUAGUGGACUUGACCCUGUUCCUGUUCACCUUUGCUAUUCUCCUCUAUCAAGCAAUUCUAGUUGUCUUGUAGUGAUUUCUAUUAAAGAAUAUAGAGUUGAUAUCAUUGUUACUGGAGUUGUAUACUGAUGUUUACGAAGUGAAAUAUCGCUGUCAGGAUAUGUAUAAUGUGGUGAUGCCUUAAUGUUGUGAUAUGUGGAAUGGUAAUUUCAGAUUUUGUGCA